UCCGUAGGUGAACCUGCGGAAGGAUCAUUAGUGAAUAUAGGACGUCCAACUUAACUUGGAGUCCGAACUCUCACUUUCUAACCCUGUGCACUUGUUUGGGAUAGUAACUCUCGCAAGAGAGCGAACUCCUAUUCACUUAUAAACACAAAGUCUAUGAAUGUAUUAAAUUUUAUAACAAAAUAAAACUUUCAACAACGGAUCUCUUGGCUCUCGCAUCGAUGAAGAACGCAGCGAAAUGCGAUAAGUAAUGUGAAUUGCAGAAUUCAGUGAAUCAUCGAAUCUUUGAACGCACCUUGCGCUCCAUGGUAUUCCGUGGAGCAUGCCUGUUUGAGUGUCAUGAAUACUUCAACCCUCCUCUUUCUUAAUGAUUGAAGAGGUGUUUGGUUUCUGAGCGCUGCUGGCCUUUACGGUCUAGCUCGUUCGUAAUGCAUUAGCAUCCGCAAUCGAACUUCGGAUUGACUUGGCGUAAUAGACUAUUCGCUGAGGAAUUCUAGUCUUCGGAUUAGAGCCGGGUUGGGUUAAAGGAAGCUUCUAAUCAGAAUGUCUACAUUUUAAGAUUAGAUCUCAAAUCAGGUAGGACUACCCGCUGAACUUAAGCAUAUCAAUAAGCGGAGGAAAAG
rnacentral:rRNA from 1 species